rnacentral:tRNA from 1 species
GCCUCGGUAGCUCAGCGGCCAGAGCGCAGACCCCUCCAGCAAGAAGUCGAGGGUUCAAAUCCCUCCCGAGGCU